rnacentral:rRNA from 1 species
AACGAACGCUGGCGGCAUGCCUAACACAUGCAAGUCGAACGAGACCUUCGGGUCUAGUGGCGCACGGGUGCGUAACGCGUGGGAACCUGCCCUUAGGUUCGGAAUAACUCCCCGAAAGGGGUGCUAAUACCGGAUAAUGUCUUCGGACCAAAGAUUUAUCGCCUUUGGAUGGGCCCGCGUUGGAUUAGCUAGUUGGUAGGGUAAAAGCCUACCAAGGCGACGAUCCAUAGCUGGUCUGAGAGGAUGAUCAGCCACACUGGGACUGAGACACGGCCCAGACUACUACGGGAGGCAGCAGUGGGGAAUAUUGGACAAUGGGCGAAAGCCUGAUCCAGCAAUGCCGCGUGAGUGAUGAAGGCCUUAGGGUUGUAAAGCUCUUUUACCCGGGAUGAUAAUGACAGUACCGGGAGAAUAAGUUCCGGCUAACUCCGUG